rnacentral:rRNA from 1 species
GAUGAACGCUGGCGGCGUGCCUAAUACAUGCAAGUCGAGCGGACGGAGGAGAAGCUUGCUUCUCUGAUGUUAGCGGAGGACGGGUGGAUAACACGUGGAUAACCUACCUGUAAGACUGGGAUACCUUCGGGAAACCGGAGAUAAUACGGGAUGAUCUUUUGAAGCGCAUGGAUCAAAAGUGAAAGACGGUCUUGAUGUCACAUCUAGCUGGAUCCGCGCUGGUUUAGCUAGUUGGUAAGGUAAACGCUUACCAAGGGAACGAUCGAUAGCCGACGUCAGGGCGGGGUCGCCGACACUGGAACUUAGACAGGGACCAGACGCCUACGAGAGGGAGCAGUAGGGUAUCUGCCGCAACGGUCGAAAGCCUUACGGAGUAGCGCCGCGUGUGUGAUAAAGGUCUUCCGUGCGUAAAACUCGGUUUCUAGUUAUGAACAUAUGUGUAAGUAGCUGAGCACAUCGUGACGGUACCUAAUCAGAAAGCCACGGCUAACUACGUG